UACAGAGGGUGCAAGCGUUAAUCGGAAUUACUGGGCGUAAAGCGCGCGUAGGCGGCUGUCUAAGUCGGGUGUGAAAGCCCCGGGCUCGACCUGGGAACUGCAUUCGAUACUGGACGGCUAGAGUAUGAGAGAGGGAGGUAGAAUUCCACGUGUAGCGGUGAAAUGCGUAGAUAUUCGCAAGAACACCAGUGGCGAAGGCGGCUCACUGGCCCGAUACUGACGCUGAGGCACGAAAGCGUGGGGAGCAAACAGG
rnacentral:rRNA from 1 species